rnacentral:rRNA from 1 species
AUUGAACGCUGGCGGCAGGCUUAACACAUGCAAGUCGAGCGGAGAUGAGGUGCUUGCACCUUAUCUUAGCGGCGGACGGGUGAGUAAUGCUUAGGAAUCUGCCUAUUAGUGGGGGACAACAUUCCGAAAGGAAUGCUAAUACCGCACACGUCCUACGGGAGAAAGCAGGGGAUCUUCGGACCUUGCGCUAAUAGAUGAGCCUAAGUCGGAUUAGCUAGUUGGUGGGGUAAAGGCCUACCAAGGCGACGAUCUGUAGCGGGUCUGAGAGGAUGAUCCGCCAGACUGGGACUGAGACACGGCCCAGACUCCUACGGGAGGCAGCAGUGGGGAAUAUUGGACAAUGGGGGGAACCCUGAUCCAGCCAUGCCGCGUGUGUGAAGAAGGCCUUAUGGUUGUAAAGCACUUUAAGCGAGGAGGAGGCUACUGAGACUAAUACUCUUGGAUAGUGGACGUUACUCGCAGAAUAAGCACCGGCUAACUCUGUGCCAGCAGCCGCGGUAA